CUAAGAAUAUUCCACAAUGGACGAAAGUCUGAUGGAGCGACGCCGCGUGGAUGAUGAAGGCCGAAAGGUUGUAAAAUCCUUUUAAACUGGAAGAAUAAUCAUGGUAGGGAAUGACCGUGAGGUGACCGUACAGUUUGAAUAAGCAACGGCUAAUUACGUGCCAGCAGCCGCGGUAACACGUAAGUUGCGAGCGUUGUUCGGAAUUAUUGGGCGUAAAGGGCAUGUAGGCGGUUUUGAAAGCUUGAUGUGAAAUCCCACAGCUUAACUGUGGAACUGCAUUGAGAACUACAAGACUAGAGUUACUGAAGGGAAACUAGAAUUCCAAGUGUAGGGGUGAAAUCUGUAGAUAUUUGGAAGAAUACCAAUGGCGAAGGCAAGUUUCUGGCAGAUAACUGACGCUGAGGUGCGAAGGUGCGGGGAGCAAACAGG
rnacentral:rRNA from 1 species